rnacentral:lncRNA from 1 species
GUCCUUACGAUACAUGUUAGCUGCAAUAGGUUCAUUAUAGGAAUAGGAUGUAUAUCUAGAUAGAAUCUAUCGCUCUUGGUAGAUAAGAAAAAUAGUCCUAUAUGAUUUAUGAGAUCGAGUUUAGAAGAUUUUGGUCAGGACAAUGUGAAUAAUGAAAAAAAAUUUUUAUAGUUUUCACAUUAGGAACUCAAGUCGAAUAAAUUUGAUAUAUG